rnacentral:rRNA from 1 species
GACGAACGCUGGCGGCGCGCUUAACACAUGCAAGUCGAGCGAGAACCGGGACUUCGGUCCUGGGGACAGCGGCGAACGGGUGAGUAACACGUGGGUAAUCUGCCCUCGAUUCUGGGAUAG